GGAUGCGAUCAUACCAGCAAUAAUACACCGGAUCCCAUUAGAACUCCGAACUUAAGCGUGCUUGGGCAAGCGUAGUACUAGGAUGGGUGACCUCNNGGGAAGUCCUCAUGUUGCAUUCC
rnacentral:rRNA from 1 species